AUGGCGAGGCCGGCGGUGAAGGCGCUGCCGCCCAAGCACCUCGUGGCGCUCGCCGUCGUCGCCAUCCUUGGACUCUUCCUAGUCGCCGACUACCUCUGGGCCUCCUCCCGCUCCGCUGCCCCCUCCAUCUGGCCCUCGAGGCUCGAUAUCUCCACUCGCCCCACGGCGUCGCCGCCGCCCUCGGAGAAGCAAACAAAGGGCAAUACAUCUACAGGUUCCAUGGACAUAAGUGCCACUUUUGCGGAUUUGCCAGCACCAGAAUUGCAGUGGAAGCAGAUGGCUGAAGCACCGGUACCACGUUUGGACGGUGCUGCUAUACAGAUUAAGAAUCUCUUAUUUGUGUUUGCUGGAUAUGGCACCAUUAACUAUGUGCAUUCUCAUGUGGAUAUUUACAAUUUCUCGGAUAAUACAUGGGGAGGAAAGUUUGAUAUGCCAAAGGAAAUGGCACAUUCACAUCUGGGGAUGGUUACAGAUGGAAGAUAUAUUUAUGUAGUAACUGGACAAUACGGCCCUCAGUGUAGGGGGCCUACAGCUCGAAAUUUUGUGUUGGACACUGAAAGAAAAGAAUGGCAUGAUUUGCCUCCACUGCCAGUUCCUAGGUAUGCUCCAGCCACACAACUUUGGAGAGGGAGGCUUCAUGUGAUGGGUGGUAGUAAGGAGGACAGACAUGAACCUGGACUUGAACAUUGGAGCCUCGCAGUUAAGGAUGGGAAAGCAUUGGAGCAAGAAUGGAGGAGCGAGAUACCAAUCCCACGUGGUGGUCCACAUAGGGCAUGUGUUGUUGCUAAUGAUAAGCUCCUUGUUAUUGGUGGUCAAGAAGGAGAUUUUAUGGCCAAACCUGGAUCACCUAUAUUUAAAUGUGUUAGAAGAAGUGAGAUGGUGUACAGCGAUGUAUACAUGCUUGAUGAUGAAAUGAAGUGGAAGGAACUUCCACCCAUGCCGAAGCCAGAUUCACAUAUAGAGUUUGCCUGGACGAAUGUCAACAAUUCUAUAAUUAUUGCUGGGGGAACUACAGAAAAGCACCCAAUUAAUAAAAGAAUGACCUUGGUUGGUGAAGUCUUUCGGUUCAAUUUGGAGACACUGGAAUGGAGUGUGAUCGGGCGGUUACCUUUCCGGAUCAAGACCACGUUGGUAGGAUACUGGGAUGGCUGGCUGUAUUUCACUUCCGGGCAACGAGACAAGGGCCCAAGCAACCCAUCUCCUAAAAAGGUUGUCGGGUGCAUGUGGAGAACUAAGUUGCACCUGUGA
rnacentral:rRNA from 1 species